GCGGGUGUAGCUCAGGGGUAGAGCACAACCUUGCCAAGGUUGGGGUCGAGGGGGUAGAGCACAACCUUGCCAAGGUUGGGGUCGAGGGUUCGAAUCCCUUCGCCCGCUCCA
rnacentral:tRNA from 1 species